GAGGGUAUAGUUCAGUGGUAGAGUGCAUGCUUGGCAUUCAUGAGGUCCUGGGUUCUACCCCCAGUACCUCUG
rnacentral:tRNA from 1 species